rnacentral:lncRNA from 1 species
UAAAGAGCACCAAAGUCGGCGCUUGGGUAUGGGAACGAUAUAUUUCCCACAAUCCUCAGCGACAUUGGCAUCCUCGUUGGCCUCUCUUCCCUCCCCUUCCCUUCCAUUCCAUUCUGCUCUUUAUACCAAAGUAGUGAGAGGGUGUUCUAGCACCGUUUUCAAAUUCAUCGACACCGGUUUCGUAUGCUCCGAAACUGGGACCUGUUAUGCUGACUUUUUAGUAGGUCCGGAUAGCGACGCCUAUGACAUUUUCGUUGACAGAAGGCCUACCAGGCCGUAUGCCCAUGGGUGCAGGAUUCUUCGAAAAAGCGCGGGCUGACUCGGAGACCAGGGACCUCGGCUUAGCAACGAAUGAAGGGAAGCUCAAAGAGGCAGUGCCGAGCGCAUGCAAGUGAGAAGCUGAA